AUGAAGAACGUAGUGAAAUGCGAUACGUAAUGUGAAUUGCAGAAUUCAGUGAAUCAUCGAGUCUUUGAACGCACAUUGCGCCCUCUGGUAUUCCGGAGGGCAUGCCUGUCCGAGCGUCAUUGCUGCCCUCAAGCACGGCUUGUGUGUUGGGCCCCGCCCCCCGAUCCCGGGGGGCGGGCCCGAAAGGCAGCGGCGGCACCGCGUCCGGUCCUCGAGCGUAUGGGGCUUUGUCAUCCGCUCUGUAGGCCCGGCCGGCGCUUGCCGAUCAACCAAACUUUUUUCCAGGUUGACCUCGGAUCAGGUAGGGAUACCCGCUGAACUUAAGCAUAUCAAUAAGCGGAGGA
rnacentral:misc_RNA from 1 species